UCAGGAGGCAUCUUUGACUGAGAUCUCAGUUUUGAGCCCCACAUCAGGAAUAUAACAAAGACAGCAUUUUAUCAUCUAAAGAACAUUGACAGAGUACGACCAUUCCUCUCUCAAGCCAGUACAGAGACACUACUACACGCUUUUACUACUUCCACAAUUGACUAUUGUAAUGCUGCAGGAAGUGGUGAUACUUUUAAAAUUAAACUCAAGACCUACCUUUUUAGUCUGGCUUUUAAUUUAAUUUAUUCUUUCAAGCUGUUUUACUGGUUUGCCCUUUUUUUUUUGAUUAUUUUCUGACUUUUAUUUUUAUUUUGGACUUUUAAUACCUCACACAGUGACCGUUAAAUUAUUCCACUGCACUUGUUGCUGCGACACCAAUUUGUUUGUUUAUCGCCGGAUUUCAUCCUGUCAUUGUUGCUAAAUACAGUUUGCAGCUUCACUGUAAAACCUGUCAACAGUUUUAUGUUCAACUGGAGCAACUGACUUCUUCUCCAGAGACCUGUCCAACUGUUUCAUAGUUUCACAGUCCAGAGGCAGCUGAUAAAGAGCAGGAAGGAAAGAAAACAUUUCACUGCAUUUCAUUACAUGUACAAACAUGUAAUCAGGGGGAUUAUAAUGUAUUCAGUGUGUUUAGCUUUUGAAUUUUGUUGCCUUAGUUUCUUUUCAGUCUGCCACUUAACUGUGUGUAGUUUGACCUUUUUCUAUGGAUGACCUUUAAAAUAUUGUGCUACUGUUUAUUCUGUAUUUGUGUGUCUGUGUUCAGUGACACUGCUGCCAUCAGUCGAGGCAACAACAUCAGAGAGAAAAUUUCCUGUUUUUCUGUCCUUCACCAACCAACUGAACUAACGGUCGAUCUGAUCCCAGAGCAGUCUGUCUCCUCUGGAGACUGUUGGUUUUCUGCUCCAACAGUUUCUCAUGUUUCUGUUUUCCAGACAAAACAUCUCCUGAUGACAGACGUUCACUCACUGAGAAGAUCUACAGGCUUCGGACUGACAGCAGCAAACACCACCACGGACAUCAGCAUCGUCCUGGAUUCAGACCAGGACCAGGACCAGGACCAGGACCAGGACCGUGUCAGAGCCGUCCCUGUGCUGAUUGUUGAGACAGAGAGGAAGACAAGUCUUCAGGAUGGACCCGGCAGUGACCUUCAUCAUCCUCCUGGGGUGAGGCUCCACACAAACUGAUCAACUGCUCCUUUAACUGAUGAUGAUGAUGAUAAUGAUGAUGAUGAUGAUGAUGAUGAUUAAGAACUGCUCCUUUAAUACCGUGUGUGUGUGUGUGUGUGUGUGUGUGUGUGUGUGUGUGUGUGUGUGUGUGUGUGUGUGUGUGUGUGUGUGUGUGUGUGUGUGUGUGUGUCCUCCCUGCUGCUGUAGAUGUUGUGUGUGGACCAGAGGACAGUCUGUCUCUUUCUCCAUGGUCUUCAGCGCAGGGAUUGAGCUGCUGGUGCACACUGGUGAACAAACAGCUGACCGUGAUGAUAUUCAUCAUCAGAACAAGACAAAUGGUUCCUCAUCUUCCUCAUCCUCCGUUCGUCCGACGGCUCAGAUCGUGUCCUUGGUCCGGGUCUCUCAGGAUCCAGGAUCUCCUCACUUGCUGGUCUGCGUC